GCCUACAACAAGCAAUACAAACAUGCUUGCAAAGAAAGAGAAGAUACAAAGAAGAGAUUGAGAACCGAAAAAUAAUAAUAUAAAUAACAAUAUAAACCUCAGCAUAUGGGCUCAACAGCAGAAUGGAAGGGAUAGAGAAAAUAAAUUAGUGAACUUCAAGAUAGAACAAUACAAAUUACCCCAGCUGAAGAACAGAGAGAAAGUGGACUGGAAAAAAAAAGUGAACAGAGUGUCAGGAACCUGUAGGACCAACAAAGGAUCUAACAUUCAAAACACUGUUGUCCCAGAAGGAGAAGAGAAGGAGAACACGGCAAAAUAAGUACUUGAAGAAAUAAUGACCAAAAAUUUUCCAAAUUUGAUUUGGCAAGAGACAUAAACCUACAAAUUCAGUGAGCUAAGUGAAUUCCAACAGGAUAAAUCUCCCACAUCCAUGUCAAGACACAUCCAUAAUUCAACUCCUGGGGUCACCAGGCUGAGGUGGCAAACAUACUAACUGUGAUUUGUGCAGAGCAAAAUUAUUUCCAUUUAUAGAGGAAGAGACUGAGAUUCAGAAGGGUUCUGUCUUGCCCAAGAAUACAGAUCUUGGCAGAGCUCACCACAAGGCCAACGGAAGCCAUGGAGAGCGCUGUGAACUGUGGGAAUUGCUGCAGGUGACAUCUAAAAGGAGAUUUAUUGAGGAUCAAGGCAGAGGUCCCCAGAGGACAAACUGUACAUCUGAUUCCUUCCUCCUGCUUUUCUUCCUGGCCGAAAUAGAUGAUUGAAUUCAUCUUUCUUCUGGCACCUUGUCUCAGAGACUUCCCUUGCCACAGUUCCAGACCCAUCCAGGCCAUGACUGCCAUGUAGACGACACACCUCUCUGCUCACAAAUAACUGGCCAAGCCUGAGGUAGCCAGGUUUUGGAGCAUUGAUAAUAUGGGUUUUUCCUGUGUUGCCCCUAAACAUGUUGUUUCAUUUUGUCCCCUUGUCAUGGGGUCUUCACAGAACUCCUGCCUUAGAGGAUAAGGAGAGACUCUUGCUGUAGCAACUGUAGACACCGGUGUGCACUAAAUAGGGAGGUGAACCUUGGCAGAAGAUGGAAAAUUUUUUUGGAGAAGGGGAUUUUUGGAUCAGUGCUUGUGGCUCUGACUCUCUUUCUGAAAGGGAAUACCCAAGAACAUGAGGAUUUUCUGUAUCUAGAGCUUGAAGACUAGCCUUCUCCAGUAUUUUGCGCUCUUCCUUAAACGAUCACAAUAUAGUCUGAGGUCAGCUUUCUUCAAACAGGAAUGACCUUACAGGCAGAGAAGAUAGCUAUAGGUGGAGACUGUUACCUCAUACUGUAGACUCAGAUGUGUAGGAUAGGUUCAGAUCCAGCUGCCCAAGCUCAAUUUGGAGGACAUGCCAUUCUUGGUACUGUUCAUUCUGAACUAUAAAUUUCUUUGUCUGCUUCUCUAAGACAUCUUUCUGUCUUGUGUUUACUGCUUAGCACACCAAACCACUGUCCUUCAAUUAUGAUAACAGUGAAUCAUUUCUGUGUGCUUACUAUAUACCACAUAACUUAGUAUACAGCCUGUAACUCAUAUAAGUUAAGAAUUUUUUCUUCAUUUUAUCAUCACAACCACCUUGGAAUUGCCCAUUUUCCAGAUGAUCAAAUGAGGUUUCUGGAGGUGAAGUGACUCUUCCAUCUCCCAGAGCAGCAGCUCCCAGCCAGAGUCGGCUCUGCCUGCACCCAAGACCUUGGCAAAGCAACCAGAGCCAGAAAGAACCACGAGAGAAGCUUUCAAUGACUUUCAGCCACUUUGUCCCCCUUUGUUUCUCUUCUCCUCUCCUGCAUUUUUCUCCAUCUCCAGGUACAGUUCAGGAUGUGGAUGCCUGUCCCCACACAAAAACACUUGGGAUUCAUUCCUCAUACCACAAUUCAUCCCGAUUUUCCCCCCUUUAAAGUCAGAUCUCACCUACCUGUUUGGUCAGAGAUGUGUGUUUUAAAAUCCCCAAGGAAGGAGGCAGGGACUGUGCCCUGAGAUGAUUGUUGGUGAAGUGGAUUUAUGCCUAAUUUCAGUUUAAGAGAAUGUUGCUGUGUCUCUGCCUAGGACAGGCAGCCCGCUGUGGCCCUGGGUGAUGAGGAAAGGCCACAGAGGCCCAGGGUUUUAUCACCUGUGGCUGCCAGUGUCUGCAGAGCCAGAAUUGAGCUAAUCCAUGAAAGAAUGAGCGCUGGUGGGCAGUUGUAUGGCAGGUUGCUAUGGGGCUUCUUGAUCUCUCAAAUUCCAGGUGACAAGAUCAAUGCAUCCUUGAGGGGCCCCUUCCCAGCAGGCUCUGGUGGCUACAAACUGGUUCAGGUGUGGAAGAUCAUACCACUUUACCUUUGGUUUUUCUUUGAAAAGCAAACAACGAAAGACAGAUGAAAACAAGAAUUCUACCCGUGGGCAGGCAAGAAUUCUCUUCGGGAAAAGGGAUGUUUGUGGCUCUUCCACACAUUGGCCUUGAAAGAGGUUGUUUGCAGAGUGGCUAUUAUUAAAAUGUCCAAAAAAUAGAAAAUGCUGGUGAGGCUGCAGAGGAAAGGGAAUGCUUAUACACUGUUGGCCAGAGUGUAAAUUAGUUCAUGGAAAAAUUAUAAAGAAAGCAGUUUGGAGAUUUCUGAAAUAAUUUAAAACAGAACUACCAUUCCACCCAGCAAUUCCUUUACUGGGCAUUUACCCAAAGGAAAAUAAUUGUUCUGCCAAAAAUACACAUGCUCUUGCAUGUCCAUCACAGCAGUAUUCACAAUAGCAAAGCCAUGGAAUGAACCUAGGUGGCCAUCAGCGGUAGACUGGAUAAAGGAAAUGUGGUACAUAUACACCAUGGAAUACUAUGCAGCCAUGAAAAGAAUGAAAUCAUGUCCUUUGCAGCAACAUGGAUGGAGCUGGAGACCAUAAUCCUAAGCAAAUUAACAUAGGAAUGGAAAACCAAAUAUCAUAUUCUCAUGUAUAAGUGGGAGCUGAGCACUGGGUACACAUGGAUGUAAGACGGGAACAGUAGACACUGCAACUACUAGAGGGAAGAGAGAAGGAGGGUGGAAAGGGCUGAAAAACUACCUAUUGGGUACUGUGCUCACUGCCUGAGUGACGAGAUCAUUUGUGCCCCAAACCUCAGCAUCACACAAUAUACCCGUGUAACAAACCUACACGUGUACCCCCUGAAUCUAAAAUAAAAGUUGAAAUAAUUUUUUUAAAACAUAGGGCCUGGGCCAGAAGCGGUGGCUCAUGCCUGUAAUCCCAGCACUUUGCAUCACUUGAGGUCAGGAGUUCAAAACCAGCCUUGCCAACAUGGUGAAACCCUGUCUCUACUAAAAACACACACACAAAAAAUUAGCUGGGCACGGUGGUGCACGCCUGUAAUCCCAGCUACUUGGGAGGCUGAAUCACUUGAGCCCUGGAGGCGGAGGUUAUAGUGAGCAGAGAUCAUGCCAUGGCAUUCCAGCCUGGCUGUAGUUGAGCCAGAAGGAGAUAUUUUGUGUGAAGGCUGAGGUGGGGGCUCUUCAGAGCCUCUGUGAGCAGGAGGCCUAAGCCGUGGUGGUGGACAGAGUUGUAGCUUUCUGCCUCUUUGCCCUUUGGCAUGGACCCACAGGUGAACAGUACCAGCCUCCAUCCCCAGCACACGCUCUGCAGACCUUCACGUCUCACAGUUCCAUGUGAGCAAAUGGACUGGGAAAGCUGUGUGGCCUGAGAAAAGGCAAUGCCAUGGCCUGGCUCUCACACAGUAUUUUGUCUUGGAUUUUGAAAAAGCCUUUUUUUUUUUAAAUUUAAUUUAAUUUUUUUUUUUUUUUUUUUGCUUGUUUUGUGUUUUUGGUGGUGGUGGUGGUGGUGGUUUAUUUCACACUGACCACUUGGAACAAAUCCCAUGGUUAUCUGUGAUUUUCAUGCCCUGUUUCUGCUGGCAACCCUUCUGAGUGGGGUGACUCACUUUCCUGUAUAAAGAGUUUGAGUAGCCCAGGUAGGAGGUGGAAGCAGCCAUCUGGAAGGCCAUUGGGAUCCUUAUGUCUGUCUCUUGGCUUCAGAUAACCAGCUGGGCUUUGAUAGGAAUGAUCUGAAUGGAGACAGAAAACAGUGAAAACUAACGCUCCCCGCCCAGCCCUGUUUAUAUGAAGCAUUUGGUUCCUCUCUUGACUCUUGAGUGAUGAUGAGAUUCAGACGAGGCAUUGACAUUAUGGUAAGAAAGGGAGAAAAUGUAUCUGUCUUGUCUGUCUAUCUAUCUACUGGAUAUAUAGCUCCAAAAGCAGACAAACCCAAGGCCGUAAGGUGAACUAGGGUCUGCGUUUGGACUCCAUGAAAACAAAAUCCAUGUUGAACAAAGUGAUGUUUGUAUGCAGUGACAUUCUGGGUGACCCGUGUGUAUCUGUCCAUCGUGUGCAAGCCCUGAGCCCUGUUUCCCUCGGAAGAUAGUGAGUGGUAGCCAUCUCCUCACACGAACCACACAUGUGGAGCACAGAUGGCCCUCUCAAGGUAAUUGAUCUUACACAUUUACUGUUCACCAAACAAGUGUCUGAUGCAUACUUGGGUAUAUUCCACAGCAUGUGGACUGCGGUCCCCUGUGUUUGCCAGGAAUGCUGUGCUCCAUGUAGAGGUUUUCCUCUACUCCUCACUGCAAUUUGCAUGCUGCUCCAUGGACACUUGGAGGCCUGUGCUCUGUUCCCUGUAACUGGAAAUGUGCUCUGAACUUGUCUGUCUCCCUUGGCUGCUCCUGGCCCUUGGUACCAGCUCCCAUGGGUGUCCACAACCACUUGGGACAGAAGGUAAAGGUGGAAUUUCAAAGAGAAGCUUGCUUGGAUCUUCAGUGACAAGCUUGGAUGAGCUACAUCCCUAACAUGGGCCCUCUCAGAAUUGCCAGGAGGAGGCUUUGGCAGGUGUCACAGGUGUCACGGGGCCUGCCCUCCUCUGCUGCGUGCAGUGGAUGCAAGCCAGCCAACGUGUGGCCAGAGUGGCUGGAUGGUGUCACAGCCCUCAGAUGUCUUUCCUUCCACGUUUUUAAAAGAGUCCCAAAUAACUCACUUGAAGUGUCUCAAAGGUGAGCAAGUUUUAUGAAAAUGAAUCCUUCCUCAGUUAAUUGAUCAAAUGGGUGAAUCUUGACCCUCUCUAAUUUCUAUCCCAGGUCAGAGUGGGGAGCUGGUGUUAGCUGUGGGAUUCACUGCAGCGUCCUACCACAAAGGCAAAGAAGAUGAAAAUGCAGCGUGCAGUGCUGGGCUUGAUUCCCAAGUCGCAGUCGGGCUCCCGCUAUGGGUAGGAGGCUUUACACUCAGCCUGGGUCAGCACCGGAGCAUCCAGGCACUUCAGCUCGUCUGGGUAGUCAGCUGUGAGGAUCAGGAAGAGAUCAAAGAAAGUAGAAAUGUGGGUGAGGCCAGAGAAGGAGACAAUAAUCUGGGAUGGAACAUUGAAGAGGAACACUGCCUCUGGAGAGGACUCCAAAACGAGGCCAUGACAGAGGCACCUGAAGAAGACCUCUACAUAGGCCUCAGAUAAAGAGACCUAAGAAUGGAGGAUCCUGAGCUGGCAAUAUAAAUAUGCACAAGGGCGUGACCAGCCAGGGGGUCCUUGACUGCAACUCCCUUCAAAGACUGCAAUGCAUUGGCUGUGAACCAAGUCUGGGGUGGGCAGAACAGCCUCUCCACACCCUGUAAGCCUGCCAGAUGCAAGACAUUGUGAUUUUGACCUUGUUGGAUGCUGCACCUAAAGGUGGAUGGAAGAGGAAGAGUCUUGGGGGCUACCAUCCUGGCUGGAGAAGCUGGCACGAGGCUCCCUCUUGUGGAUGCAGCAAGGUAAGAAAGUAAAGUGGAUGUUCUCUUUUGGAGCAAGCGGCCUCCAGCUCUGCCUGUAGACUGAAACAUGCACUUGCAUGCUGUGGCUUAGCUGAGGGCUUGUAGCUCAGGACAGAAGCGCUGAUGGUGACAAGAGCAGGGGAGUGAUACGGGAGAGGUACAGCCCCAGCCCCAGGACACAGCAGAUCUCAAUAUUGGGAAGCAAGGAGUUCAGUAUCAGUAAAGUGAGCCAUAAGAGAGAAAGGAAAGCAGCUUUGUAGACAGAGGUGGAACCAAUUGAAGGGAAGAGGGGAGCUCCUUGCAAAGAACAUUGCAGGUAGCGUCUAGAGGCUGUGGGGAUCAUUCUCAGGCCAUCCAAGAACUCUGAGAAGAUUUGGGGGAAGCUGGAAUUUCACUGUGGUUGCUAGGAUGGGCUCAAGCCAGAGGCUAUUUUUAUUUAAAUGCCAUUAUUUUUGUUUUUAUUUUUUGAUAUUAACCCUGUCAGGUUAGUGAGCCUAGAGAAUACCUGUUAUAAAUGAAAUAUAAUUCUGAAAUGUUAAUGUGUGGAAGGAACAAGUAAGGCUUGAGAAAUAUAACCUGGGCAUAUAAUGAUGCUAGAGAACUUACAAUCUUUGCCUGAAAGUUUUGGAUGCACAAAAGUCUGUUAUUUUAUUUAUUUACUUAGUUCUUACUGAGAUUGAGACAGUCUUACUGUAUAAUGCCUAA
rnacentral:lncRNA from 10 species